rnacentral:rRNA from 1 species
UACGUAGGGUGCAAGCGUUGUCCGGAAUUAUUGGGCGUAAAGAGCUCGUAGGCGGUUUGUCGCGUCUGCUGUGAAAACUCGGGGCUUAACCCCGGGCCUGCAGUGGGUACGGGCAGACUAGAGUGCGGUAGGGGAGACUGGAAUUCCUGGUGUAGCGGUGAAAUGCGCAGAUAUCAGGAGGAACACCGGUGGCGAAGGCGGCUUUCUGGGCCUUACCUGACGCUGAGGAGCGAAGGCUGGGGGAGCGAACAGG